CACGAUUGCUUUUUAACUUCCCGAUAUGUUUUCAUCUCAACCGUCCCUUUUUCGCUGCCGAAAUCCUGUAAUUGCAUCGAUAACAAGCGCGAUACGAGGCGUCGUUCUCGGUCCAAUCACAUUCAAAAAUCUCUGUACCAGUACCAGACGUAAUUCGAGGCGUGACCUUCUGUACGGUUCAAUCUUAGCCGUUUAUUUUCUUUCUUACGGCCCGAUCUCAAUUUUCAUUUUGUCUCAUCUGCGGCAUUAACUAGGUCAUCUUAAUUACCGCCGUCUAUUCAUCAUUAAAGCCGACCUCGAAACUCGCUUCGACACGACGGUUCGAUACGACGGCCUUUCUUCUUCUCCAAGCUUUUUAUUCUUUUUGUCUCUUCUAUUUCUUCUUCGUCUUCCAGGAAACUUUUCUUUCGCUUCCCUUUCCUUCAUCUUCUCCGAUUUUAUUUUCCACUUGACUUUUUCUCUUUUCCUUUUCGACUAAUGACGUUGGUUCCGCCUCUUCCUUCUCAUCCAUCCCUGGAUUAUACUAUACUUAAACCCUUCGUCGACUCAGACCCCUCUAGAUUUAUUUUGUGUCCUUCUCUUACAGAA
rnacentral:lncRNA from 1 species